AAUCCAUGGUGUGGGCAUAUUUGGAUCAACAUUUUAAAAUGCUCCCAAGCUUCAUAAAAGCUCUCUCCUUCCAAUUGUUUAAACAUUGCAAUCUCUCUUCUCAGUUG
rnacentral:snoRNA from 1 species